AUGAACGCUGGCGGCGUGCCUAAUACAUGCAAGUCGAGCGAACAGACGAGGAGCUUGCUCCUCUGACGUUAGCGGCGGACGGGUGAGUAACACGUGGAUAACCUACCUAUAAGACUGGGAUAACUUCGGGAAACCGGAGCUAAUACCGGAUAAUAUAUUGAACCGCAUGGUUCAAUAGUGAAAGACGGUUUUGCUGUCACUUAUAGAUGGAUCCGCGCCGCAUUAGCUAGUUGGUAAGGUAACGGCUUACCAAGGCGACGAUGCGUAGCCGACCUGAGAGGGUGAUCGGCCACACUGGAACUGAGACACGGUCCAGACUCCUACGGGAGGCAGCAGUAGGGAAUCUUCCGCAAUGGGCGAAAGCCUGACGGAGCAACGCCGCGUGAGUGAUGAAUGUCUUCGGAUCGUAAAACUCUGUUAUUAGGGAAGAACAAAUGUGUAAGUAACUAUGCACGUCUUGACGGUACCUAAUCAGAAAGCCACGGCUAACUACGUG
rnacentral:rRNA from 1 species